AUUGAACGCUGGCGGCAGGCUUAACACAUGCAAGUCGAGCGGAGAGAGGUAGCUUGCUACUGAUCUUAGCGGCGGACGGGUGAGUAAUGCUUAGGAAUCUGCCUAUUAGUGGGGGACAACAUUUCGAAAGGAAUGCUAAUACCGCAUACGUCCUACGGGAGAAAGCAGGGGAUCUUCGGACCUUGCGCUAGUAGAGGCGCCUAAGUCGGAUUAGCUAGUUGGUGGGGUAAAGGCCUACCAAGGCGACGAUCUGUAGCGGGUCUGAGAGGAUGAUCCGCCACACUGGGACUGAGACACGGCCCAGACUCCUACGGGAGGCAGCAGUGGGGAAUAUUGGACAAUGGGCGCAAGCCUGAUCCAGCCAUGCCGCGUGUGUGAAGAAGGCCUUAUGGCUGUAAAGCACUUUAAGCGAGGAGGAGGCUACUUUAGUUAAUACCUAGAGAUGGUGGACGUUACUCGCAGAAUAAGCACCGGCUAACUCUGUGCCAGCCGCCGCCGUAAAAC
rnacentral:rRNA from 1 species